GAUGAAGAACGUAGCGAAAUGCGAUACGUAAUGUGAAUUGCAGAAUUCAGUGAAUCAUCGAAUCUUUGAACGCACCUUGCGCCCCUUGGCAUUCCGAGGGGCACACCCGUUUGAGUGUCGUGAACAUCCUCAACCUCCUUGGUUUUUAUCGAACCAAGUAGGAUUGGAAUUUGGAGGUUUUCUGCUGGCCUCCUCUGAAGCCAGCUCCUCUUAAAUGUAUCAGUGGGAUCCGCUUUGCUUAGAUCCUCGACGUUGAUAAGAUGUUUCUACGUCUUGGGUUUUUCUCGCAAAGGACCUGCUUCUAACCGUCCCCAUCGGGGACAACCUUUGAGCCGAUCACCCUUCACGGGGUGGGAAGCUUUGUGACCCACGAAACCUUGACCUCAAAUCGGGUGAGACUACCCGCUGAACUUAAGCAUAUCAAUAAGCGGAGGA
rnacentral:misc_RNA from 1 species